AUGGCCGACGGUGACAACAACAUCGGGGGGUUACUCCCAACCGACGUCCUCAUCGAGGUCUUGCUGCGCCUCCCGACGAGCUCCCGACGGCGGUUCCGUCUAGCCUGUCGGCUCUGGCGCGACAUCAUCGACACACACACCACCGAGAUGCAGAGCCGCCCCAAGAUGCUCGUCGCCACCGUCGAUGCAAUACACCUUGUCGAGGAGGACGACCUACCAUCAUCGCGAUGGACCGGCGCCGACUACGACUACGAUGGCAUGAGCCUUGUCGGCACCUGCAACGGCCUCGUCUGCAUGUACGACAGCCAAGACCCUGACGGGCCCAUCAUCCUUGCAAAUCCGGUCACCGGCGAGAUGCUGGCCAUAACGCCGCCGCCCCCGAUGAGGCACACGAAGGCCACUUCGGACUCACGUCUGACGUUCACCUUCACGUACCACCCCACGACGGGGCGGUAUAAGGUCAUGCACGUCCCGUACAGCUUCGACAGGGUCUGGGUGUUCACGCUCGGGGAGGCGCUCUGGCGAGACGUCGCCACGGGCAGCCCAACGGAGAUAUACGACGUCAGCAAGGGCAUGAUCAGCAUCGAUGGCACGGUAUACUGGGCGGUGAAGGGCGGGGAGGCGAAGGUCGUGUCCUUUGACCUCGACAGCGAGCACGUCGCAUCCGUCAGGCCGUUGCCAAAAGUGCUGUCUAGACACGGUAGCUGGCACCUUGUGGAGGCGCGCGGGAGGCUGGGCGUGGCGUUUAGCCGCGGGUGGUGGACGGCGGACAAAACGGAGGUGUGGGUCAUGGAGCAUGCGAUGGCGGGACGACGGCGUACGUGGAGCCGCUGGUACAACAUAAUAAUGGAGAAGCCAGUAGAUCAACUCGCGCACCAGCAUCAGCUCACACUACCAAGCUUUACUACUCAUGAUAGUGAGUACAUCCUGACGAUGAGAUGGGAGUGGGACUUGUUACUAGAGCUAGGACGUUAUCAUGGUUAUGUCUUGUACAAACACAAGCCAAGCAAUGACGUAAAGAAGCAGGCACGGCAUGGCGUGGUAGAAAUCGGCGAGAGGGACCGCGGCGCUGAGGUUGCUGUUAUACCAACUCACCACAUCCGCCCCCGGACCUUCGCCUACGUCGAGACCACAGAACCUUUGAGUGUUUAUAGG
rnacentral:rRNA from 1 species